GACGAACGCUGGCGGUAUGCUUAACACAUGCAAGUCGAACGAGAAGUCUUUUAUUGAACCUUCGGGGGAUAUAAGAGACAGACAGUGGCGAACGGGUGAGUAACGCGUGGGCAACCUAUCUAUCGGAGCGGGAUAGCCUCGAGAAAUCGGGAGUAAAACCGCAUAACACGGAUAUAUCGCAUGAUGAAUCCGUCAAAACUCCGGUGCCGAUAGAUGGGCCCGCGUCUGAUUAGCUAGUUGGUAAGGUAAGGGCUUACCAAGGCAACGAUCAGUAGCCGGUCUGAGAGGGCGAACGGCCACACUGGAACUGAGACACGGUCCAGACUCCUACGGGAGGCAGCAGUGGGGAAUAUUGCGCAAUGGGGGCAACCCUGACGCAGCAAUACCGCGUGAGUGAAGAAGGUUUUCGGAUCGUAAAGCUCUGUUAUUGGGGAAGAAGCAGGACGGUACCCU
rnacentral:rRNA from 1 species